CCUCGCUUCCUCAUGGGGAGUCCUAGCCCUGAUGAGGGUGACUGGGGCCUGGCUGAGCAUACUGGGCCCUGGGGAGCCUCCUCUCCCCCUGUUACCCUGGGCUGAUUUAGGAACUGGAGUGAUAGAGGAGCCUCUAGGUUGGAAAGCUCGAGCUGGAGCUGGGGCUUCCUCUCCCCUUGGACAGAUUCAUCUUAAUUAGCCCCCUCAGAUAACAGUUCUUUUGGAGGCCAAGGUAGCUGACUUAUGAAGACACUGUCUUCCUCCCCUUGGAGUUGUUUUGCCAAGUGACAAACCAGGAGACACAUGUCCCCACUAAGGGUUGGCCCACAGAGCUGGGUUUGAAGCCUUUCUAAUGAGAUAGGAGAUGAUGCUCUUGAUCUGUGACCUGUUGGCCCAGCCAGGUGGGCACCUGUCGCUGUGUGUAGGAGCCUGAGUUUGGGUGCAGCACAUGCGAGCUUGGGUGCAGUGGCCCCCCACCAGGAGCAAGAGAGGUUCCUGAGACCCAGCCCCUCAAAGAUGAGAACCAAUGAAAUCCCCAAAUGACAGUGGCUUCCCUUAGUCAUUCAGGGAACAUUUAGUGGAGCACCUACUGUGUGCCAGCCAGUUAGUAGGUGGGAAUGAGAUGGGUCAGUUGUGGCCCUGACUCUAAGGAACUUAUAACUAAAAAGAAGUGUUCAUAAGAGUUGAGGACUACCAAGUUAUUGUGUAGGAGAGCGGGCAAACGAAGGGGUGCGAGAAGCCAUCUCAGCUCUCCCAGCUCUCCUCCUUGGUUGCUGAGUGUACAUGUGCUGCUCACGCAGAGCGCAGGCAUAGAUAAGGCGGGGAGGGGGUGCCCUGGAGGAGGCCGCGCCUCUCUGAGGCCAGCACUUGCCUGCUAUCCUUAGACUGACCAGCAGAUGGCAGGCGUGCUACGGGAAAGUCAAGAAUCGCUGGGGGCGGGGGGGAAAGGAACAGAGAUACAAAAGCACUGGGCUUUUAUAACAAAAUACCAUUGACUGGCUGUCUUCAACAACAUAUUUCUUUCUCACAAUUCUGGAGGGGAGGAAGUCCAAGGUCAAGGUGCCAGCAAGGUAGGCUUCAUUCUGGGUGUCUUCUCUUGGCUUGUAGGUGGCUGCUUUCUCACCAUGUGCUCAUAUGACCUUUCCUCAGAGCAUGUAGGUGAGGGGGAGGAGGAGAGGGGAGAGACAUACAGACAGAUCUUAUCUUCCUGUAAAGCCACCAGUCCUCCUGGAUUAGGGCCCCAUCUUUAUGACCUUAUUUAACCUUACUUACUUCCUAAAGAUCCUCUCUCCAGAAAUCAAAUGCAGUUACAUUGGAAGUUAGGGCUUCAAAAUACGAAUUUUAGGGGGAAACAUUUCAGCCCAGUGCAGAGAGUGAGAGAGAGAGGAGAAAAGGGAGAGAGAGAGGGAAGGAGGAAGAGAGAGACAGACAGAGAGGCAAGUGGUGGGGUGGGGUGAGGGGAGAAGGGAAGAGCCUGUAGCACUGGGUGGGGAUUCCUGGUUCUGAGCCAGAUUUGCCAUUUACCUUAUUGGACCUUGAGCAAGCCACUCUUCCCUUUGGACUGCCACAUCUUCACCUCCAAAGGGGGGUAGUGGUAUACCCCACACCCCCAUACACACUGAAGCAGCAACAAAUUCACAGAAAGGGGCCUGUCAAGAGUUUCCCCCCCCCUCCCCAUUUCCUCACUCAGCAACCCUAUUAGAUAGGCAUUACCAUUAUCUUCAUCUUUCAAAUGAAGAGACCAAGGGUCAGGGAAGUUAAGUGGCUUGGCUGAGGGCAUUGCUGAGACUCAAACCUGUCUUCUGACCCCAUGGUUUAAUCAGUCAAGUGAGCGACCUGAGAGGGGUAGAAGAUACAGUACAGAUAUGAAGGAAACUUGGGAACUCCUUGGCAUAGCUGAGCUUGACAAAUGGGGGCCUUUUCUGGAGCCUCCACAAAAUCCCUGAGAAUGGGCAAGUUUGGUGGAGGGCCCUUGCAGGGAACACAGGCCUCCCGGGGAAUGGCCUGGAAACUGGCCCAGAGACAGGAGAAACACUCCCUGGACAUGUAGUAACCAAAGAAAGGUGUCCAAGAGGUAGCUUCUGUCCCUCUGUCCUGUCUUGGUUUACUCACAGUGAAGUCCAUCCAGCUCUUGGCUUCUGCUGUGUGGUAUGUGCAGGGCCAUAUGCAGAGAGAGGAGAAUCUACUCCUUUUCUCUCAGAGACACACGAGGGACGCCUAAAUCUAAUAAGUUAAUCUAGACUCCCAGAAACAAGAUUAAAUUUUCAAAUAAAAGCAGGCUCUGACAGCUAAGGCAUAAAUCUUUUAUUUAAAAUAGAGACUAAACCCAUUGAAAUGCAAUCAGCGAUGACAGAUGCAGAUAGAAACAAGCUCUGAUAGAAGAGACGCAGCAUAGAUUGUUCGCUUUUGGUGACAUACCAUACAGGGUGACCUGAAGGACAGUCUGCCAGCGUCAGCAGAUAGUGAGGCCUUUGCAUCCAUUCCCAUGUGGUUUGUUGGCCCAAGGUGGUGCCAGGGUAGUUGCUGAGGCAGGUGGGAGGGAGCCAGCCUCGGAGGUUGUGGUCCUAUUGCCAACACCCAUCUCUCUGCUCAGAGGGCAGGGAAGAGGAUCAGCAGUGUUUGGACAUGUUUGGAGCACCAGCAAAGCAGCUUGAGGAGGAGAGAAUGGGGAGCUGUCAAGAGCAGGUGGGAGAAGGUUGAGGCAAGAGGAUAAGGCAGGUAAGGACAAUAGGAGAGUUUCCUGGGGCUUCCAGAACAAGGGGUGAAGCUCUGCAGACCCCAAACCAAGACAGUCUUCUGCUUCAGCUGCUAUGGAGGACCAUUUCUGAGUGCCAGACACUGUGCAUUUAGUUCACAAUCUUAUUUAAUCCUCACAUCAAACCCUUUUACAGGUAACUGGCUGACACUCAAAGGGGUCAAGUCCAUGCCUUAAUUACAUAGCCAGUUAGUGGCAGAGCCACGAGUCUGCCCCAAGGCAUGCUGACCCCGGUCCCUUGCUCUUUCUACCUGACAUGCCACAGCUCACAGACACCCAGGGAUGCCCUGGAGCCUCGCAAACAUACAGACACCUCAUUUGUUCUAAUUCAAGCAAAGAACAGGGAAUUAUUUCUCUUAAAUACUGCCCCUUUUGAAGCUUUUUCAUGCUUGUAAACACAAAGUUGCCACCACAAACAUACAUCCCUUGAGGACAAGGGGGUUCCCAAAUUGCUAGUCCCAAGAAUCUGUGUUCAGGAAAAUGUUGAACAGGAUGCUGAAAACAAAGCAAACCCCCAUACAAGACAGUGCUUGUGUUAAAUAACUUUGGGAAACUCCACCUACCUACCACAACUCCUCCUGGAGAGUCACUCCACAUGUUAGAAUAUUAAAGAACAUUAUGACAAGUCCUGAAGAAAAGAAGUUUGUUUAACCUAACAUUUCCCCAACUUAUAUGAACAUGGAAAUGUUUUUGUUUCUCCUACUGGACAUGAGAUCACAUCAACUCAUCUUCCAAUGAGCCAAUCUCAGGAAACACUGAUCUAAGAGUAUCAUUUCAGUUUGGCACAUAGCUUCCUGCUUCUCCAGAAGGAGUAUUACAGAACAUGAAAUUUUACCACUAAAUACUUGAAACAGGUGCCGAAAGAAGCCACAAUCAACAUUUGUGGUUCUUAGUGUUUUUUAGGUGAGAUGUCCUUAGGUAAUUUGAUGAAAGUUGUGGAUUUCUUUUCCUUGGUGAAGAGGAGAAGCACUCACAUGUAUUGUGUACACACACAGAAUGUUGAACUCAGAUUUAAGGAUUCAUAGGUCAUUUUUUGCUCAUGGGCCUCAAGUCACUAACCUUUAAGUCAUUAUCAGCUUAAGUCCUUGAUGUUAUUGGAAGCCAAGCACUAGGCCUUGGCUGGGGAUGAGGGUGCAAGCGUGCUGGGGGUAGAGCCACUGAGAGGGUCUGGGUGAAAAGGCCAAGUAGACUCCUGGCCUGCUGACAAAGAAAGCCCUGAGAGUCACUUCAGCUUCAUGUGUUCAAUGCAAGGGGCGCUCCACUGGGGUUUGGGAUGGGGUGGGAGGCAUCAGGCAGCUUGGUGAGCAGACACCCCUUUGCAUGUCUGAAAGAAUGUUCCUUCCCAGUCCUGUGGGGAGUUUCAAGCUCAGAGCUCCUACCUCUCUUGGAGCCUCCCAUAGCCUAGUAUAUGAGAAUCCUGUUGUUGAUACUUGCCUAACAUCCCUUCCCUGUCCCCCUUCUCCUGGGAAUAGCACCUUAGUUGUCCUUGAGGAGUCACCUCUAAUGCACAUUGGUGUAUAUUCAUGGUAUGGAUUGGACCUCACCCCUAGAUUCAGGAUGGUCUCAUGACCCAGACAUAGAUAAUCAGAGGGUACCAUCUUUUUGGUCACAGCGAUUGGUUCAGGGAUAGGCAUAGGAACCAAGCCAGAACAAUAACUGCCAAAUGGACAAAUUAUGGGAGUUUUACAGAGAAAGAGUAGUUCUCAUGGGGCUGUUCGUAAAAGAGUAUGCCUGGAGCUGCUGGUGGCCACCUUGACCCAUGAGGGAGAUGGCCUGAAGAUGGAUCCUCUAUUGAGGAGAUCAGCUUGAUGCAGGUAAACAUGAGGACCUUCAAAGCCAUUUUGGGUGUUGGAAGUGGGAAGAGCCACAAGGAGGAAGGACUCUGGGUACCAGAAUCACUCUUGGAGAUGAGCUUCAUGACAAUUAGGAGUCCCUGCUUGGGAGUACUACAUAAGUGAGAAAUAAAUAUCUGUUGUGUUAAACCA